AAAACAAGCAUGACAAAGGUCGUCUUCGAAUAAUCCUUUCUUUGAUUUUAAGCCCAGGGUCAA
rnacentral:ribozyme from 1 species